UAGGCUGAACUGCAGGCGGUAUUGAGUGGGUGACGUCACCAACAGUAUAAAGUCACUGCUGCAUCUCUGGAGUCAAUCAUCCAAUCCGUCGGCUAACCGAAUAGAUCCGAUCUGAGGGGCAUAAGCUACUCGUCCUUCCCGCCAACAUGAACAAGUUGUUUGUCGCUUGCCUCCUGCUGGCUCUCCAUCUCCUCUCAUCACAGAUGAUCGACGCCGCUACACCGGCCACGGGCAUGACUUCCUCCACUAACGGCACGUCCCCCCCGAACGCUGCGGCGGCACCGGACGCCUCCUCGCUGCUGCCGCUGCUGCUGGCGGCUGUGGCCUCGCUGCUCCAGUGCUGGUCCUGAUGGCCGGCCGGACGGAGCACGCAGAGUUGAACUCCAACGAAAGGCUUCUCUUCAACACGACUUGGAUUUUUCUUUGUCUUCUUCUUUUUUUGUUUGUUUUGAAAGACCACGCACUUCUCCGUUUUACCGUUUACGCGCCCUGCUGCAGAGCCUUCCGCAGGUCUCUGGGUUCAGUCCGAUGUAUUUUCGGUUGUGUGAUGAUGAUGAUGAUGAUCCAGGAUUUUGAGCCUGGUUGUGAACAAGUUCAGCAAAGUUCAAAUUCUUGUGUGACGUUCUAUUUCAGAUUUUUUUGGUAACUAAUAAAAUCUUUAAAUUCUAA